rnacentral:rRNA from 1 species
GAUGAACGCUGGCGGCGUGCUUAACACAUGCAAGUCGAACGGUGAAGCAGGAGCUUGCUCUUGUGGAUCAGUGGCGAACGGGUGAGUAACACGUGAGCAACCUGCCCCUGACUCUGGGAUAAGCGCUGGAAACGGCGUCUAAUACUGGAUAUGUGAUGUGACCGCAUGGUCUGCAUCUGGAAAGAAUUUCGGUUGGGGAUGGGCUCGCGGCCUAUCAGGUUGUUGGUGAGGUAAGGGGGCACCAAGGCGUUGACGGGUAGGCGGCCUGAGAGGGUGACCGGCCACACUGGGACUGAGACACGGCCCAGGCUCCUACGGGAGGCAGCAGUGGGGAAUAUUGCACAAUGGGCGGAAGCCUGAUGCAGCAACGCCGCGUGAGGGAUGACGGCCUUCGGGUUGUAAACCUCUUUUAGCAGGGAAGAAGCGAAAGUGACGGUACCUGCAGAAAAAGCACCGGCUAACUACGUGCCAGCCGCCGCGGUAA